rnacentral:rRNA from 1 species
GCAGCCGCGGUAAUACGUAGGUGGCAAGCGUUGUCCGGAUUUACUGGGUGUAAAGGGCGUGUAGCCGGGUCGGUAAGUCAGAUGUGAAAUCUGGAGGCUCAACCUCCAAACUGCAUUUGAAACUGCUGAUCUUGAGUAUCGGAGAGGCAAUCGGAAUUCCUAGUGUAGCGGUGAAAUGCGUAGAUAUUAGGAGGAACACCAGUGGCGAAGGCGGAUUGCUGGACGACAACUGACGGUGAGGCGCGAAAGCGUGGGGAGCAAACAGGAUUAGAUACCCC